rnacentral:rRNA from 1 species
AGAGUUUGAUCCUGGCUCAGGACGAACGCUGGCGGCGUGCUUAACACAUGCAAGUCGAACGAUGAACCUCUUUCGGGAGGGGAUUAGUGGCGAACGGGUGAGUAACACGUGGGCAAUCUGCCUUCACUCUGGGACAAGCCCUGGAAACGGGGUCUAAUACCGGAUAUGACACGGGAUGCAUGAUCUUCGUGUGGAAAGCU